rnacentral:lncRNA from 1 species
UGAUUUUUUUCUAGCCUCUGAUAGCUUUCCCAUGUCCAUAUGCUUUGAGCAGAUUUUGCAGAAAACUACCAAUGAAUAAUACCCAUCCACUACACCCCUUCAAACUCUCAUCUCUGGCUCUUCAAUUUAACAAGACUGUUGAUCAUGUUUGGAUUUACCCAACUUGCCUGGACACUUGGAAGCCAAGGCCAGAUGAAAUAGUCUUGAAUCAUGGAGUUUUAAGAAUUUGGACUAAGGGGAUGCCUGUAAGAAGCAGAGAAGCAAUACAGAUGAACAAAAUAAGCUGGAAGUAGGAAAGCAAAG